UACGUAGGUGGCAAGCGUUGUCCGGAUUUACUGGGCGUAAAGAGCGCGCAGGCGGUCGUUCAAGUCGCGUGUGAAAGCCCCCGGCUCAACUGGGGAGGGUCACGCGAUACUGAUCGACUCGAAGGCAGGAGAGGGAAGUGGAAUUCCCGGUGUAGUGGUGAAAUGCGCAGAUAUCAGGAGGAACACCGGUGGCGAAGGCGGUUCUCUGGGCAGUACCUGACGCUGAGGAGCGAAAGUGUGGGGAGCGAACAGG
rnacentral:rRNA from 1 species